AGAGUUUGAUCCUGGCUCAGAAUGAACGCUGGCGGCGUGCCUAACACAUGCAAGUUGAGCGGUAAGGCCCCUUCGGGGGUACACGAGCAGCGAACGGGUGAGUAUCGCGUGGGUAACCUACCCAGAAGUGGGGAAUAGCCCCGGGAAACCGGGGGUAAUACCGCAUAUGGUUUCGACGACAUAAGUCGAUGAGAGCAAAGGCGGGGAUCCUUCGGGACCUGUCGCUUCUGGAUGGGCCCGCGUCCGAUUAGCUAGUUGGUGAGGUAAUGGCUCACCAAGGCUGCGAUCGGUAGCCGGCCUGAGAGGGUGAACGGCCACAUUGGGACUGAGACACGGCCCAGACUCCUACGGGAGGCAGCAGUGGGGAAUCUUGGGCAAUGGGGGAAACCCUGACCCAGCGACGCCGCGUGGAGGAUGACGGCCUUCGGGUUGUAAACUCCUGUCAGGUGGGAAGAAAAGCCUGUCGGCCAAUACCCGGCAGGAAUUGACGGUACCACCAAAGGAAGCCCCGGCUAACUCCGUGCCAGCAGCCGCGGUAAUACGGAGGGGGCAAGCGUUAUUCGGAUUUACUGGGCGUAAAGCGCACGUAGGUGGCAUGGUAAGUCACAGGUGAAAGCCCUCGGCUCAACCGAGGAACUGCCUGUGAAACUGCC
rnacentral:rRNA from 1 species